GUGGUCCUUGCUGCUUUGGCUAUAUUCUUGUGUGUGAACAGAAACAGGCAGAACUGGAAUGGUAAAGGAGAUCCAAUUGUGUCCAGAUCAUGGUGAGUAUAAUUAAAAUUCAUUUCUUUUCAGUGACAUUUAAUUUAAUUUAAUUUAACGUUCAUGCCUUGCAAACUAUUUUGUUGACUAUUUCUUGUGUUUUAAACCAUUUAAGCUCUCCACAACCAAAUAACUUUGCCCUUCUACCAGUAAAAGGUAAAUGAUUUAAAGAUGUAAAUGAAAAAAAUAAAAAUCUCCUCUUUCAAAUGCAAUCCUCCAAUUCUCACUUGUCAUUUUUUAUCAGGAACAUUGUCAACACACAGUGAAAAAGUGACUUUGCGGCUUCCUCAACCUGGUAAGAUGUGRGCUCCGAUAUGUGAGCAGCUAAGAAUCAAAGCUGUCAACAAAAUGGCUGACAAUUACUCACAAAUUGUGCUGCAUUUUGGUUCCAGAUAAUGAGAGCGAUACUGAAGUCCCUUAUGCUGACAUUAUGAUCACCGUUCGAGGGGUCAGCACACCUGAGCUCACUCAGGUUGGCUACUUAGGAACUGGAGAGUGGCGAGGAGAUGAAUUUAGAUCUCACCUUCAGGCCUCACGUUCAGCUGACAGAUUGCACGUCCC